rnacentral:snRNA from 12 species
GGAAGUGUGUGUCUUCUGUUUGUGAUGGCACGUAGCUGGACAUUGAUCGCUCUAGAACCGUUAUUAGUGUUUGUUUGCAGAUCUGCUCAGUGGCAUCCGUCACACAUUUGCCUCUUACUCUCUGGCAGAAAAUUGUGGAGUUCUGUUGAGUGGUCUUCCGUUGCACGGCGCCGGGUCGUACGCACGGUUUGGUAAAGGGCUCUACGCUCUUUGCUGUGAGACCACCAACAAAUUCCCAAGUCUGCCCUUUUCAAAAUUUCUUGGUUAAGUAACUUGUAGCUUAGCUUCGGAUGAAUUUCGUAAAUUUGCUGUUCAGAACACUUCCAUAAACGUGGCAUUGCCGAGCAAUUUGCCCAUUACCUUU